AUUGAACGCUGGCGGCAGGCUUAACACAUGCAAGUCGAGCGAGCGGCGGACGGGUGAGUAAUGUCUGGGAAACUGCCUGAUGGAGGGGGAUAACUACUGGAAACGGUAGCUAAUACCGCAUACCAUCAGAUGUGCCCAGAUGGGAUUAGCUAGUAGGUGGGGUAAUGGCUCACCUAGGCGACGAUCCCUAGCUGGGCUGAGAGGAUGACCAGCAACACGGGAACGGAGACACGGUCCAGAAUCCUAAGGGAGGCAGCAGUGGGGAAGAUUGCACAAUGGGAGCAAGCCGGAUGCAGCCAUGCGGCGUGGGUGAAGAAGGCCAUCGGGUUGUAAAGCACUGUAAGCGAGGAGGCGUUACUCGCAGAAGAAGCACCGGCUAACUCCGUGCCAGCCGCCGCGGUAAUUC
rnacentral:rRNA from 1 species